ACGGCCUGGACAAGAAGCUGCUGAACCUGGAGACCGUGGCGGAGAGGAACCUUCUGCUGGAGGAGAAGGUGAAGAUUCUGCAGCAGGAGAACGAGGACUUGCAAGUUCGCAGCCAGAACCACUUGGUGGUGGCGAGGCAGCUGUCGGAGGAGCUCCUGGCCGCCCGCGGGGACCUGGAGAAGGAGGCGCAGCUGCGGGAGCAGGCUCGCCGCGAGAAGGAGGAGCUGCUGUACCGCCUGCUCAACGGGGGGGACGGCUCCCCCUUCCCCACCGCUGCCGGCGAGGUGCCCCCCAUCGCCACGUAGCACCCCGCCGACCGGCACCGAGCGCUGCCGGGGGGGCUGGCGGGGCUUUCCUCCGGGAGCGUGAGCCCGGGGCUGCUCUCACAAGGGCCCCCCGCUGCCGGGGCAGGACCCCGGGGCUGACCGAGCCCUCGGGGUGGCCCCGUCCCAUCGGGGCGAUGGAGCAUUUCGCUGGACGCUCGCGCCUGCCUUUGCCCAGCCCUCGCGGGGCUGCACGGAGACCCCGGCCACCCUCCCCCUACUCCCCGUGCCAGCCCUGCACCCCUUCCCCUGCGGGGGGGGCUUUCUGGGGGUGAAAGGGGUCAGCCAGGACACACAGAUGUGCAUUGGGCUGGAUCCGCCCCAGCGCUUGGCUCUGAGCAUAACCAGCAGCAGUGCUGCCCGGGGGGGUCAGGCGAGGAAGAUGAGGCGCUCACCGGGCUGGGGACGAGCAUCGGGAGGAUGAGGAGGGUGCCGGGGACAUAGUGCUGUUAAGACACCUCAUUCCCCGGGGGAGCAUCCCUGGGAAGCGGGCGGCCAAGCCCAGGGCUGAGCCACAGAGACUUUGACGGGGUGGCAGCGACGGGCAGGAGGGACGGCUGCAGCGGGGUGUACCUGCCACCUCCGGCGCUGCCCUUGCUGUAGACCAUGUCCGCCUGUGCCAUUUUGGGCCUUGGCCUCCUGCUCAGGCUGCCCCAAGGCGAUGACACCCACUCCUGCCAUUUCCAGGGUAAGCAGGCCUUCCCCUGCCCGGGAGCUGCCUCACUCCCUGGGGAGGGGGGCUCAGGCAGGGCUCCCACCCGUGCCCUCCUCUCCCCAUCUUCAGCAAGCGGCUCCCGGGGAUCGUUCCGGCAGCCCAGGCGUGCCCCCCCCCCCGCUGCCACCCAGAUGCCAAGCACUCCUUGUAGCCGCUGCCCAUCAGCAGCACCACCAGCCCCCUCUUCUCCCCCACAGCCGGGCAGAGGCUGCACACCCCGAGGGGCACACGGGGGGAGCAGAGCAUCCUCCCGAGGGGGAGAAGGCUUCAGGGGCAGCUGCCAGCAGGUCACAGCCCUCCCUGCUCCA